AGCCAGGGCUGGCUGCAGCAGGCUCCGCGGGCGGGCGGCGAAGGGCAGACGGAAGCCCAAGGGGGCCCGCCCGCCCGCUCCGCUGCGAAGCGCGCCCGCCCUGGAGGCCAGGACCCCAGGGGGCAGAAGUGGGUCUGGCUUUGCAUUGCCCGACCAGCGGGAGGGGAGCCAGCCAGGGGCAGCCAGUUGCAUCCUCCCGGGAACUGCCAGGGGAGGCUUUUGGGGGAGCGUGCUGCCAACUCUUGGUUUGGCUGGGGGGAGACCUGCCGUCUCUGUGGCUCCAGCCAGCCAGCAGGCUGCAGGGUCGGGGCGCAGCGGCCGUGGGGGCUCUGGAGCUUGCUGCCCUGCCCGUGGGCGGGGCCUCCACGGGCCAGCCAGGUGGGCACAGGGUUCCUGGGGCUGUGCUUCGUCUCGUCCCGGCCCGGCCCAAGGGAGGUGGGGGGAACCUCGGAGGCGCCCAGGAACGCAGGAGGGCCCCAGACUCCGGCCCUGCCAGCCCUCGGAGAGGGCCCACGCGUGUCCGCUCGGGCUCAGGAGGCCACGGUGGGACAGCCAGUACCCCAGCACCGAGCUCAUGUCGCGUGGACCACCCAGUGCGCGUCAGGAGUAGGUGUGUCCCAGCAGGAGCCCCUAGGAACAGCCCCGCCCUACCAGCUCUUAGCACAGGGAGUCCUGGUCUGCACAUGCAUGAGCCAGGGAGCCAGAGAGCCAGAGAGCCAGAGGAGGACGCUGCCCUGGGCUCGAACUGUCCUCAGAGAAUGUUUGUAUGACCCGGGGAUCCAAGGGAGGUGGGGGGAACCUCGGAGGCACCCAGGAACGCAGGAGGGCCCAGACUCCGGCCCUGCUGGCCCUCGGAGAGGGCCCACGCGUGUCCGCUCGGGCUCAGGAGGCCACGGUGGGACAGCCCGUACCCCAGCACCGAGCUCAUCUCGCGUGGACCACCCAGUGGGCGUCAGGAGUAGGUGUGUCCCAGCAGCAGCCGCCCCCCACCCCGGGAACGGCCCCUCCCUAGACAAGCCUUCCCUGUGAGGAGUCCUGGACUGCGCACGCGCGAGCCGGCG
rnacentral:lncRNA from 1 species